AACGAACGCUGGCGGCGUGCCUAACACAUGCAAGUCGAGCGAGAAAGUUCCCUUCGGGGAGCGAGUAAAGCGGCGAACGGGUGAGUAACACGUAGGUAACCUACCCUCGAGUCCGGGAUAACCUGUCGAAAGACGGGCUAAUACUGGAUACGACUGCGGGAGCGUGAGCUCCUGCGGUGAAAGGUGGCCUCUGCUUGCAAGCUAUCACUCAUGGAUGGGCCUGCGGACCAUAGCUAGUUGGUGAGGUAACGGCUCACCAAGGCGAAGAUGGUUAGCUGGUCUGAGAGGACGGCCAGCCACACUGGGACUGAAACACGGCCCAGACUCCUACGGGAGGCAGCAGUGAGGAAUAUUGCGCAAUGGGCGAAAGCCUGACGCAGCGACGCCGCGUGGGUGAUGAAGGCCUU
rnacentral:rRNA from 1 species